GGAGUAAAAGUCGUAACAAGGUUUCCGUAGGUGAACCUGCGGAAGGAUCAUUAUUGUAUAACCGAGGUGCGAGGGCUGUCGGUGACCCGAAAGGUCGUGCACGCCCGAGUGCCCUCACACACAUCCAUCUCACCCCUAUGUGCACCACCGCGUGGGUCCCCCUUUGGCUUGUUCGGAGGGGGGCUUACGUUUUCACACAAACUUUGUAUGCAGUGUAGAAUGUAUUUUUUGUUUUUGCGAUCACGCAAUCAAUACAACUUUCAACAACGGAUCUCUUGGCUCUC
rnacentral:misc_RNA from 1 species